GAAGGUUUUAGUUAAUAUUAUGGGGAAUUCAUAUAUUCCUAUUCUCAUAUGUCUCUUAUAUAGAUAUAGAUAUAUAAGUUAAGAAAUAUAUUCUAAGAGCUGUAGGAACCAAGGAAAAUCAUAAAGGAGCAACAGUCAGAGUCAGUACAUUUCUCCCGACUCCGACUCCACCCAAAACUGCUUCCGACUCCGACUCCACCCAAAACUGCUUCCGACUCCGACUCCACCCAAAACUGCUUCCGACUCCGACUCCACAGCCCUGGUGACAAGUCCACGUACGAUUAACAAAUGGAUUGGAUCCACAGCCUGGCCAAUGAUCCUUCAACAGUGGAGGUUUUAUCCUGACAAUGUGACAGCAACUUUAAUGGUUCACAGAUAGAGGCCAACA